AAAGGCCCCUUCGGGGUACUCGAGUGGCGAACGGGUGAGUAACACGUGGGUGAUCUGCCCUGCACUUUGGGAUAAGCCUGGGAAACUGGGUCUAAUACCGAAUAUGACCACGCGCUUCAUGGUGUGUGGUGGAAAGCUUUUGCGGUGUGGGAUGGGCCCGCGGCCUAUCAGCUUGUUGGUGGGGUAAUGGCCUACCAAGGCGACGACGGGUAGCCGGCCUGAGAGGGUGACCGGCCACACUGGGACUGAGAUACGGCCCAGACUCCUACGGGAGGCAGCAGUGGGGAAUAUUGCACAAUGGGCGCAAGCCUGAUGCAGCGACGCCGCGUGAGGGAUGACGGCCUUCGGGUUGUAAACCUCUUUCAAUAGGGACGAAGCGCAAGUGACGGUACCUAUAGAAGAAGGACCGGCCAACUACGUGCCAGCAGCCGCGGUAAUACGUAGGGUCCGAGCGUUGUCCGGAAUUACUGGGCGUAAAGAGCUCGUAGGUGGUUUGUCGCGUUGUUCGUGAAAACUCACAGCUUAACUGUGGGCGUGCGGGCGAUACGGGCAGACUAGAGUACUGCAGGGGAGACUGGAAUUCCUGGUGUAGCGGUGGAAUGCGCAGAUAUCAGGAGGAACACCGGUGGCGAAGGCGGGUCUCUGGGCAGUAACUGACGCUGAGGAGCGAAAGCGUGGGGAGCGAACAGGAUUAGAUA
rnacentral:rRNA from 1 species